CGCGUUUCUUUUAAUAUUGACGUUGCUUUUCUGCAGAAUAAUAGUUGUCUUUAUAGAUCAAUGUUUCUACCCAUAACUGAAUUAUUAACGUUAAUGUGCUGUAGGCCGAAUGUACUAUUUCUGCGAUAUCAAUGUAGUAGUAGCCAAUAUCUGCUUCCCGCAGAUACAGGACGUCCACAGAAACACGGGUCAGCCAUUGGUCAAUUUCCUCAUUAUUCAGACGGUUGUGCACUGAUUAUCCGUGUUUCUACGUAUUACACAAGCUGAUUUCGUAAACAUAAAGCAUAACCUGUAUAAGGUACAGAAUCGUUGCGAAAUUAUACAAUAAAGUGCACUCACAUCGUUUCAACAAAGUCAGUCAGACCUGCUGAGUUUGCACUAACACCUGCAGCCAGCUGAAGCAGAGCUAAGUAUGAGACACGAACUCUGUGGCUGACGCAAACUACAAGGAAAGUGUUGGCUUCAUUUUACGACGGCAUCCACUCCUGUUAUAAGUUUCACUGCAGUGCGCUCAGGACAUGGUAGGAUAAGGAUAAGGAUAAUCACCUUUACUGGCCAAGUAUGCUAUACACAAGGAAUUUGUUUCCACCACAGAAC